UGUUUGGAGGCAAGUCUCUCUCAGAACAUUUACCUGAUUUGAACAGGUUAGCCCUUGCAAUAUUGACAUCUUGGCAGUCCUUCUGAUCAUAUAGAUCACACGUGUAAGCUUCCAGAGCCUCACAUAGUUCUGGUGAUGGGGUGAAACUUGUUCCUAGUUCUCUAAACAUGAUGUAUUCUGUUUUUGAACUUAGUUUUUUGUAUGCUUUUUCUUUUCCAACCUUAUGCGGAGCGCUCACUGUGUCACAUCCAGAAAAGGCAUGCAGACCUACAAGGGCAUCACAUUUGUCUUCGCCAAGAUGGGCAUGUAGCUUGGUAAUAUCAGUAAUGUGUGUGUCUCUCCCCUUGGCUGUAUGGAAAUGGAGGUGGCCAUCAAUGUGGCUGCAGAAAGCUAGAGCCAGCACAAAGACAUCGGUGUCUGGGCUCUUGAUUACCAGGUCAUGGCUGUGCUUGGCUGCAUGCAGAAUCGUUCUGGUGUCUGCCUCCUCUUGACUUGUCUCUAGGUCUUUGAGUUCCAGUAUCUCAAGGUCAGUAUAGCUCACAUUCAUCUUAAUGGCGUGACACUUGCUUCCAUGUGCAACAAUGAUGGUUAUAUUGCCAAUUAUAUUCUUUGCAGUUAAGCUCCAAUGUUGGAAGAAAUACUCCAGUAAGUUUUCUUUAUUUUGGCCACAUGCCAGAAAUUUUUUCCAUUGCUUUGGGGUUUUUUGGUCAUCUCCAUAGAUUUUGAUUUUUUGGUAGCCCUGUUCUGCGCGCCGACUACGCUCAGCAUUUUUGAUGCUCAGGUCGCUGUAUGUGUCACAUACAAAAUGAAGCUCUGUUGACUUUGUUGCCUUAGCUGAGUGAACUAAUGUGUUCAGUACAUGAUCAGCAUACAACCCAAAUGUUGGCUGUGGCUUUAGUUGUUGCACCAGAGCCAUAGCAUCCCAAAUCCAAACUGAGCCAUCAGGAAUGUCACUCACUAUUGCAGGCGGGUUGAUCUCAUCUAGCAAGAUGUGCAUCAGCUUAGCUUUGUUGGUUUUGACCAGAGAGCCAUCAAAGUUGGAAAUUGACUGUGGAAAAGGACCCAAACUGGUCAUGGAAUGAUGCUUGGCCAUGGACUAUCCUUUUUUUCACAGAAUUCAGUGAGUGCCUUAACACCUCUUUGUUUAGCCCCUAGUAAGUCUGUGGCAACAUUUUCUGAUGCCUGUUGGCCAGAAGAGAUGUGACAAAGAGAAUCUCCAUCCAGCAAUGGGUCAAAAGGGUUAACCAUAUUUUGGAUAGUGGCCACAAUGUUCAUCACAUCAGCCUGAUCUCUCUGCAUUCUGGUGUUGUCUAGCUCAGAGUUAAGAUGUCCUACCGGGCACUUUCCUGCCAUUGUUUUGCAUUCAAAAGUGAUUGCUGCCCGCUCAUGUUGUGUUAGGGUCCAGCGGUGAACUGCACCCUUGUUCAGAGAGAACCCACUGAUGCCUCCCUUUGUCUUCGAGUCACGAUUGGCUGUUUGCUCAAUGACUUGAUCACAUGCUGUGCCAGCAAAACCAUGACUUUGAUGUCUUUGUGCCACAAAGUCACCUGAAAGAAGCUGCUGGUGUGCUGAAGGGCAAAAAACCAGGGCAGCAUACUUUGCACAGUGGACAAAUGGAGAGCCCAGUUCCCCUCUCUUGUUGCCCUGAUGAAAAGAAGCAAAUCUUCCAUCAUGUCAAGGUAUGUGCUCCAAAAUGCAAAUGUGUGGUUACAGUUGUUUUUCACCACAAAUUCUUCAUAACCUUGCAGUAACUGCUGAAAUGUGUCUGAUGUUAGCAUGCCCUUGAACUCUUCAGAGGGAAAACACUCCUGCAGAUCUGUUGCCACUUUUAAAGCAGCUGCAUUUUGUUCUUGUGAGUGUGUCCAAGUAUGCCCACCAUCGCAGUUUCUGGAGUGCUUCCAUCAGGAGUUUGUGAGCCCGUAUGCUCCUGUUGUAGUGAUGGCCGGAGAUCACUCCAUCAAUUGAGCCUGCGGCCACCAGGUCAGACUCAAUCAA